CGACAGCACCGAUCUGGCACCGAGUAACGCCUAACGCCUAUCUGGGGACAUUAAAACGUCCCUUGAGCGCGUAGGCAAAGCGCAGAAAAAGGGACCUCUCAUCACAUCUCAUAUCUCCCUUCUUCUCCCUAACCUCCACCGAAAUACCUUCGCACAAUAAAAGGGAGGAGAAGAAGACGACGACGACGACGACGACGACGACGACUGAGGAGACCCAACAGACACGGCAACAUAAAUAAAAGAAAAUUUGUGAUCGAGUCAUCUGGGAAGAUAUAUGAAGUGAAGAAAGGUUGAACAAGGAUUGGGAGCAUUGAAGGACAAUGUUUGAAGCAAAAACACUUUUGUCUAGCGAGCAACGUUUUAAAAGACACAUGUCUAGCAACCCUCUAUCAGAUUUGUGAUUCUGCCGUGGAGAAUGUUUCGCAUGUUUUCUCAAGCUGUUAUGCUGCUAUAUGGACUCAAAGAGAGAUUCUUUUCGUCAUCAUCUUCAUUGGAACCAAUUUGAUUCCUUUCUUGGUUGUGUGGAGGCAAAUUUAAAAUGCAAAGAUUCGCGUUGUUUUGGGUUAUCUUGGAAUCUUGUUUUUGUUGUAGCCUUAUGGUUCAUACGCAGGUGGAGAUGUUGUGUUAUAUUUUGUCCUAAUUUUGCUAAGCCUACUGAUCCAAAAAAAAGCAUUUUGGAGUAUUCUAAAGAAUGGCUUAAAUAAUGUUAGCCUUUCUAGUAAACACAAUUGUGUGCAAGUUCUUUUGGCUUGGGUUCCUCCUCCGUCUGAGACCUUUUAAGUUAAAUGUGGUUUCUCUCAUUCA